UUGGAGGGCAAGUCUGGUGCCAGCAGCCGCGGUAAUUCCAGCUCCAAUAGCGUAUAUUAAAGUUGUUGCAGUUAAAAAGCUCGUAGUUGAAUUUCGGGGUUCAUACGUUGGUCGGGCUAUUUGGUCUGUACUUAUGUAAUGGAUUCCUACCUUCUGAAUAACCGGCAUGCCAUUAAUUUGGUGUGCCGGGGAAGCAGGACUGUUACCUUGAAAAAAUUAGAGUGCUUAAAGCAGGCUAUCGCCUGAAUACAUUAGCAUGGAAUAAUGAAAUAGGACGGCAUGGUUCUAUUUUGUUGGUUUCUAGGAUCACCGUAAUGAUUAAUAGGGAUAGUUGGGGGCAUUAGUAUUCAAUUGUCAGAGGUGAAAUUCUUGGAUUUAUUGAAGACUGACUACUGCGAAAGCAUUUGCCAAGGAUGUUUUCAUUAAUCAAGAACGAAAGUUAGGGGAUCGAAGACGAUCAGAUACCGUCGUAGUCUUAACCAUAAACUAUGCCGACUAGGGAUCGGAUGAUGUUAAUUUUUUAAUGACUCAUUCGGCGCCUUACGGGAAAC
rnacentral:rRNA from 1 species